AUUGAACGCUGGCGGCAGGCUUAACACAUGCAAGUCGAGCGGGGGAGGGUAGCUUGCUACUGGACCUAGCGGCGGACGGGUAAGUAAUGCUUAGGAAUCUGCCUAUUAGUGGGGGACAACAUCUCGAAAGGGAUGCUAAUACCGCAUACGUCCUACGGGAGAAAGCAGGGGAUCUUCGGACCUUGCGCUAAUAGAUGAGCCUAAGUCAGAUUAGCUAGUUGGUGGGGUAAAGGCCUACCAAGGCGACGAUCUGUAGCGGGUCUGAGAGGAUGAUCCGCCACACUGGGACUGAGACACGGCCCAGACUCCUACGGGAGGCAGCAGUGGGGAAUAUUGGACAAUGGGGGGAACCCUGAUCCAGCCAUGCCGCGUGUGUGAAGAAGGCCUUAUGGUUGUAAAGCACUUUAAGCGAGGAGGAGGCUACUUUAGUUAAUACCUAGAGAUAGUGGACGUUACUCGCAGAGUAAGCACCGGCUAACUCUGUGCCAGCCGCCGCGGUAA
rnacentral:rRNA from 1 species